rnacentral:rRNA from 1 species
GUAGUUAGCCGGGGCUUCCUUGUGGAGUACCGUCACUUCCUUCGUCCUCCACGAUAGAGGUUUACAAUCCGAAAACCUUCUUCCCUCACGCGGCGUUGCUGGGUCAGGCUUUCGCCCAUUGCCCAAUAUUCCCCACUGCUGCCUCCCGUAGGAGUCUGGACCGUGUCUCAGUUCCAGUGUGGCCGAUCAGCCUCUCAGCUCGGCUACCCAUCGUUGGCUAGGUGGGCCGUUACCCCGCCUACUACCUAAUGGGACGCGAACCCCUCCUUUAGCGGAUUUCUCCUUUGACCUCUGUGUCAUGCGGCACUGUGGUCUUAUGCGGUAUUAGCAACGAUUUCUCGUUGUUAUCCCCCUCUGAAGGACAGGUUGCUCACGCGUUACUCACCCGUUCGCCACUAAGCUAUCAACCGAAAUCAAUAGCUCCGUUCGACUUGCAUGUGUUAGGCACGCCGCCAGCGUCGUCUGAGCANNANACAACUACUNACUAGAGCGGCGNGACGAGCGC